rnacentral:tRNA from 1 species
GGGGCUGGAGCUCAGUGGUAGAGCACUUGCCUCGCAAGUAUGAAUUCCUGGGUUCAACCCUCAGCACCA